rnacentral:rRNA from 1 species
CCCUUAGAUGUUCUGGGCCGCACGCGCGCUACACUGACAGAGCCAGCGAGUUUUUUUCCUUGGCCGGAAGGUCUGGGUAAUCUUGUGAAACUCUGUCGUGCUGGGGAUAGAGCAUUGCAAUUAUUGCUCUUCAACGAGGAAUACCUAGUAAGCGUGAGUCAUCAGCUCGCGUUGAUUACGUCCCUGCCCUUUGUACACACCGCCCGUCGCUACUACCGAUUGAAUGGCUUAGUGAGGUCUUGGGAUUGGCUUCGGGGAGCCGGCAACGGCACCCUGUUGCUGAGAACUUGAUCAAACUUGGUCAUUUAGAGGAAGUAAAANUCGUANCA